UUCCCUUCUGACGCAACGCUCACAAGACACACUUUAUUUUUAUCUCCGGUUAAUUGGGCCUCCUUCCGCGAUUCCAGCAAACAAACGGCAACAACAGAAAGGACGAGGGGGUCAGCAGGAGCGUAACGCGCUCCGACGCUGCGGGGCGGCGGUGGUGUCAGCGCUGAGGGACGCGAGCCAAGCCGUAUCGUCUAAUGGGCUUCCUCCUCAUCGCUCUGUGCACAUAUAAGGCUCUUAGCGCACUGGGAAGCCUUUUGACAGCAGUCCAGGGGCCUCCUGUGUCGGUGUGCCGGCCCAAAGCUGAAAUGGUUUAUGCAGUAUGCUGGCAUUGCUGGCCUGUCAUAACAUUUGUAUAUAAUUACUUUUCCAUGUCUCUGUCUCAGUCUAUUUCCAGAGUUUAUUCAGCUCCGUUUAUUUCACAGGGCUGGACAUCAGAGUGAUGACGCUAAAAGGGGAAAACUACAGUCAGACUAGCCCAGUCAGCAGGAAAGGGUAACCAUGGAGACGUAAUGCAUGUCAGGAUGCCCUGAAUGUGGAGGCCACAUCCUGUUUACAGCGUUACUAUUCUUCAUCAGCGGUCUCGCCGCGCGGCGCUCACCAAUGGCGGGAAGUUGUAUUUCACGGGUCUCUUCCGCAGGAAAAUAAACCUGUUUCCUGGUCCGAGUGGGCUCCACCGCCCUCCCUCAGCCCUUUCUCCCUGACCUCGCCAACGUCUGCCGCCCUGCCGCCUCACGGAGACGCGGCGUUUACACGGACUUCACGCCGAGGUUGCGCACCGCAGUGGCGUUGUCUACAAACAGCUGACUCUGCACGGCCGCCGCUGUGUGUACUAUAUACUUUCUGCAAACAGGAACUCUGGCCUGCAUUAGCGGCGCACACAAUGACAGAAAUCAUUAAAUGCUGGCGUGGGUUGACUGCACAUUCACGUUAACAGAAUAAAGAGAUUAUAUUUCCUUGAAAAAGCCUCUCAGCUUUAUUCAGGAACAAAAGCGGCGACGCUGGAUACCUUACAGUGCAGAUUCUGGCUCAGGCGACAUAGAAACGGCCCAGGGAAACAAAUUCCGUGACCAAAAAAAGAACUGGCAGUGUGGAUUACCAAUUUUACAAAUUUGCAAAAUGGCCGACGGUACACCUUUCUGGAGGUGCCUGUACGCGGCGUCUUCGAUUGAAAUGUCCUUGACCGAUUUUACAAAAUGGAAGAGAGAGAGAAAAACGGAGAGAGAAAACUGCUGUUGGACGGCUAGCAUCUGGAGUCAGGAGGGGGGUGAUGUCAUUGGGGCAGCUCGAGGAGACGACGGGAGAAAAACAAGUCGCUUUCUUUAUUCUAAUCCGCUCCGCUCCCGGGCGGAGGGGUGGCUGGCGGCCAAGGAAAGGGUUGCUGGGAAACUGCGAGGGUUGCCAAGCGAGCCCGGCCGCCAACAUUAGAAGUGCACAUCUUUGUUCUCGGGAACCUGGUGCGCUGCCAAAGACCUCAU